UGGGGAAUAUUGGACAAUGGGGGAAACCCUGAUCCAGCAAUGCCGCGUGUGUGAAGAAGGCCUGCGGGUUGUAAAGCACUUUCGGCAGGAAAGAAAAGCCAUGCGCUAAUACCGCAUGACCUUGACGUUACCUGCAAAAGAAGCACCGGCUAACUCCGUGCCAGCAGCCGCGGUAAUACGGAGGGUGCAAGCGUUAAUCGGAAUUACUGGGCGUAAAGCGCACGUAGGCGGACGACUAAGUCGGAUGUGA
rnacentral:rRNA from 1 species